GGGGGGGGCUAAUACAUGCAAGUCGACGAGUUCUGAUUAUUGAAAGGUGCUUGCAUCUUGAUUUAAUUUUGAACGAGUGGCGGACGGGUGAGUAACACGUGGGUAACCUGCCCUUAAGUGGGGGAUAACAUUUGGAAACAGAUGCUAAUACCGCAUAAAUCCAAGAACCGCAUGGUUCUUGGCUGAAAGAUGGCGUAAGCUAUCGCUUUUGGAUGGACCCGCGGCGUAUUAGCUAGUUGGUGAGGUAACGGCUCACCAAGGCAAUGAUACGUAGCCGAACUGAGAGGUUGAUCGGCCACAUUGGGACUGAGACACGGCCCAAACUCCUACGGGAGGCAGCAGUAGGGAAUCUUCCACAAUGGACGCAAGUCUGAUGGAGCAACGCCGCGUGAGUGAAGAAGGCUUUCGGGUCGUAAAACUCUGUUGUUGGAGAAGAAUGGUCGGCAGAGUAACUGUUGUCGGCGUGACGGUAUCCAACCAGAAAGCCACGGCUAACUACGUGCCAGCAGCCGCGGUAAUACGUAGGUGGCAAGCGUUAUCCGGAUUUAUUGGGCGUAAAGCGAGCGCAGGCGGUUUUUUAAGUCUGAUGUGAAAGCCCUCGGCUUAACCGAGGAAGUGCAUCGGAAACUGGGAAACUUGAGUGCAGAAGAGGACAGUGGAACUCCAUGUGUAGCGGUGAAAUGCGUAGAUAUAUGGAAGAACACCAGUGGCGAAGGCGGCUGUCUGGUCUGUAACUGACGCUGAGGCUCGAAAGCAUGGGUAGCGAACAGGAUUAGAUACCCUGGUAGUCCAUGCCGUAAACGAUGAAUGCUAGGUGUUGGAGGGUUUCCGCCCUUCAGUGCCGCAGCUAACGCAUUAAGCAUUCCGCCUGGGGAGUACGACCGCAAGGUUGAAACUCAAAGGAAUUGACGGGGGCCCGCACAAGCGGUGGAGCAUGUGGUUUAAUUCGAAGCAACGCGAAGAACCUUACCAGGUCUUGACAUCUUUUGAUCACCUGAGAGAUCAGGUUUCCCCUUCGGGGGCAAAAUGACAGGUGGUGCAUGGUUGUCGUCAGCUCGUGUCGUGAGAUGUUGGGUUAAGUCCCGCAACGAGCGCAACCCUUAUGACUAGUUGCCAGCAUUUAGUUGGGCACUCUAGUAAGACUGCCGGUGACAAACCGGAGGAAGGUGGGGAUGACGUCAAAUCAUCAUGCCCCUUAUGACCUGGGCUACACACGUGCUACAAUGGAUGGUACAACGAGUUGCGAGACCGCGAGGUCAAGCUAAUCUCUUAAAGCCAUUCUCAGUUCGGACUGUAGGCUGCAACUCGCCUACACGAAGUCGGAAUCGCUAGUAAUCGCGGAUCAGCACGCCGCGGUGAAUACGUUCCCGGGCCUUGUACACACCGCCCGUCACACCAUGAGAGUUUGUAACACCCGAAGCCGGUGGCGUAACCCUUUAGGGAGCGAGCCGUCUAAGGGGGAC
rnacentral:rRNA from 1 species